GAAAUGCGAUAAGAAGUGUGAAUUGCAGAAUUCAGUGAAUCAUCGAAUCUUUGAACGCACAUUGCGCCCCUUGGUAUUCCAUGGGGCAUGCCUGUUCGAGCGUCAUUUGUACCCUCAAGCUCUGCUUGGUGUUGGGUGUUUGUCCCGUCUCCGCGCGUGGACUCGCCCCAAAGUGAUUGGCAGCCGGCGUACUGGUCCCGGAGCGCAGCACAUGUCGCGCAAACGAGUGCCUUGGUACGGCGGCGUCCAUAAGCCCCUCUCUCACGCUCUUGACCUCGGAUCAGGUAGGGAUACCCGCUGAACUUAAGC
rnacentral:misc_RNA from 1 species